rnacentral:rRNA from 1 species
UACGGAGGGUGCAAGCGUUGUCCGGAUUUAUUGGGUUUAAAGGGUGCGUAGGCGGUUAAUUAAGUCAGUGGUGAAAUCCUGGAGCUCAACUUCAGAACUGCCAUUGAUACUGGUUGACUUGAUUACAGACGAGGUUGGCGGAAUUGAUGGUGUAGCGGUGAAAUGCAUAGAUACCAUCAAGAACACCGAUUGCGAAGGCAGCUAACUAGGCUGUAACUGACGCUGAGGCACGAAAGUGUGGGGAUCAAACAGG